rnacentral:rRNA from 1 species
CCCUCCUGCUCCCCCCCCGCCUCUAUGAAGAACACCUCCUUAUUGUUAUAAACUUCUUUCGGCGAGGAAGAAGGUGAUAAGGUUAAUACCCUUAUCAAUUGACGUUACCCACAGAAGAAACACCGUAAAUCUCCGUGCCAACCCCCGCGGCAAUACAGAGGGCGCAAGCGUUUCUCAGAAUUACUGGGCAUAAAGCGCACGCACGCGGUCAAUUAACUCAAAUAUGAAUCCCCCGACCUUAACUUGGAAAUUGCAUCUAAAACUGCUUGCCUAAACUCUUGUAGAGGAGGGUAGAAUUCCAUGUGUAGCGGUGAAAUGCGUACAGAUGUGGAGGAAUACCGGUGGCAUAAGCCGCCCCCUGGACAAAACUGACGCUCAGGUGCCAAAGCGUGGGGAGCAAACAGGAUUUAAUACCCUGGUAGUCCACGCUCUAAACAAUAUCGAUUUAAAGGUUGUUGUCUUGAACCGUGGCUUCUGGAGCUAACGCGUUAAUCGACCGCCUGGGGAGUACGGCCGCAAGGUUAAACUCAAUGAAUUGACUGGGCCCGCACAGCGCUGCACCAGUUGUUUUAUUCGAUCCACGCGAAGACCUACCUACUCUUGACUCCAGCAAUCCUUAAAAGAUAAAGAAUCCCUCAGGACGCUAAAACAGGCUACAAGCUGCCUCACUCCGGGUUGGAAAUGUUGGUAAAUCCCCCAAAACCCACCCUUUUCCUUUUUCCACCCUUAAUGGGGAAAUCCAGGAAAAUCU